rnacentral:rRNA from 1 species
UACGUAGGGUGCAAGCGUUGUCCGGAAUAUUGGGCGUAAAGGGCUCGUAGGCGGUUUGUCGCGUCGGGAGUGAAAACUCAGGGCUUAACCCUGAGCCUGCUUCCGAUACGGGCAGACUAGAGUGCGGUAGGGGAGAUUGGAAUUCCUGGUGUAGCGGUGGAAUGCGCAGAUAUCAGGAGGAACACCGAUGGCGAAGGCAGAUCUCUGGGCCGUAACUGACGCUGAGGAGCGAAAGCGUGGGGAGCAAACAGG